rnacentral:rRNA from 1 species
UACCAGAGUACUAUGAAUGUUGUAAAUUUAAAACUCAAAGAACUUGGCGGUGUUUUAGACCACUCAGGGGAACCUGUCUCGUAAUCGACAAUCCACGUUGUACCUGACCUUUUUUUGUUUUCAGUUUGUAUACCGUUGUCGUCAGGUAACUUUUUAGAAUACAGAAGUUGGCUGGAAAAAUAUAUAAUUUAGUACGUCAAAUCAAGGUGCAGCUUAUAGAAAGGGGAGGAUGGGUUACAAUUAUUAAUUUAUAAUUACGAAUGAUUAUGUUAAAGUGUAAUGUUAGAAGGAGGACUUGAAAGUAAAUUGGAUUUAUAAAAAUAAAUUUGAAUAAGGCUCUGAAACGUGU